GAUGAACGCUGGCGGCGUGCCUAAUUCAUGCAAGUCGAGCGAACAGACGAGGAGCUUGCUCCUCUGACGUUAGCGGCGGACGGGCGAGUACCACGUGGCUAACCUACCUAUAAGACUGGGAUAACUUCGGGAAACCGGCGCUAAUACCGGAUAAUAUAUUGAACCGCAUGGUUCAAUAGUGAUAGCCCGUUUUGCUGUCCCUUAUAGAUGGAUCAGCGCCGCAUUAGCUAGUUGGUAAGGUAACGGCUUACCAAGGCAACGAUGCGUAGCCGACCUGAGAGGGUGAUCGGCCACACGGGAAGUGAGACACGGUCCAGACUCCGACGGGAGUGAACAGUAGGGAAUCGUCCGCAAUGGGCGAAAGCCUGACGGAGCAACGCGGCGUGAGGGUUGAAGGUCUUCGGAUCAUAAAACUCUGUUAGUACUGAAGACCAAAGGUGUAAGUAACUAUGCACAUCUUGACGGUACCUAAUCAGAAGGCCACGGCUGACUAGGUG
rnacentral:rRNA from 1 species